rnacentral:rRNA from 1 species
GAUGAACGCUAGCGGCAGGCCUAAUACAUGCAAGUCGAACGGUGUCUUCGGACAUAGUGGCGCACGGGUGCGUAACACGUAUGCAACCUACCUUACAUUGGGGGAUAGCCUUUCGAAAGGGAGAUUAAUACCGCAUAAGACAGUAGCUGGGCAUCCAGCAGCUGUUAAAGAUUUAUCGAUGUAAGCUGGGCAUGCGUCCAAUUAGCUAGUUGGUGAGGUAACGGCUCACCAAGGCAAUGAUUGGUAGGGGAACUGAGAGGUCAAUCCCCCACACUGGCACUGAGAUACGGGCCAGACUCCUACGGGAGGCAGCAGUAGGGAAUAUUGGGCAAUGGACGCAAGUCUGACCCAGCCCUGCCGCGUGCAGGAAGAAGGCGUUCUGCGUUGUAAACUGCUUUUAUAUAGGAAGAAACGACCCUUGCGAGGGGCAUUGACGGUAUUAUAUGAAUAAGCACCGGCUAACUCCGUGCCAGCCGCCGCUGUAAUAC